AGGAUUAGAUACCCUAUUAUUAAAAUUUAAAUUGAAAAUACUAAAAUAGUAGAUAAUUAUUUAUUGAAACUUAAAUAAUUUGGCGGUAUUUUAGUUCAUUUAGAGGAAUCUGUUUAAUAAUUGAUAAUCCACGAAUAAAUUUACUUAAUUUUUUAUUUUGUAUAUCGUUGUUAAAAAAAUAUUUUUUAAUAAUAAUAAUAUUUAAAAAUUUUGAUUAAAAAUUAAAUCAGAUCAAGAUGCAGAUUAUAAUUAAGAAUAUAAUGGAUUACAAUAAAUUUAUUU
rnacentral:rRNA from 1 species